rnacentral:tRNA from 1 species
CAAGACAUAGCUUAAACAAAGCAUUUUGCUUACACCAAAAAAAUAUUUAAUAACAUAAAUUAUCUUAA